AUGCAGUUUUUAUCUGAAGAAGAAGCAUAUUGCUUCUAUAACAAGUAUGUUUAUUCCUUGGGUUUUAGCAUCCGAAGAGGCAAUCAUCAUAAAGUAAAAAAUUCCAGUACAAUACAACAACGGACAUUCACAUGUUCUCGUCAAGGAGUUCGUGCGGAAGAUAAAAGAGAGGAGAAAUUCAGUUAUAGUAGGCCUGAGACACGAUGUGGUUGUGAUGCACGUAUGAAGAUAAGUCUUAGUAAUGGGACUUAUUAUGUAUACGAAUUUAAAGAAGCCCAUAACCAUAGUCUUGCUACUGGAAACAUGCCGCAAUACUUAAGAUCACACAGGAAAGUAACUGAAGCUCAACUAGCCAAUGCCGAGGUCGCAAAGUCAGUGGGCAUUUCAAAUAAAGCAACUAUUGAUCUAAUAACGGAAGAAGCAUGUGGACCUGAAAACCUUGGCUUCAUAAGUACUGACAUGAAAAAUCGUUUGUACUCAAAGAGAACACUAAAAGCAAAGGUCGGUGACACGGGUGGAGUGUUAGAAUAUAUGGAGAAGAAGGUUUCAGAAGAUGUCAAGUUUUUUUAUUCAAUUCAAGUUGAUGAGGAUGAUUUGAUAACUAAUAUAUUUUGGACGGACUUCAAAAUGGUCUCAGACUAUGCAUUAUUUGGUGAUGUCAUAUGCUUUGACACCUCAUACAGAAAGCUAGACGAUGGGCAUCCGUUUGGUUUAAUUGUUGGCGUGAAUAAUCACAAGAAAACAAUUGUGUUUGGUGUUGCACUUCUCUAUGAUGAAACAACAGAAAGUUUUGCUUGGCUUUUUAGAACAUUUUUAACAGUAAUGUCUGGAAAGCAUCCACAUACAAUUCUGUCUGAUGAAGAUGCAGCAAUGGCUAAGGUGAUCCGUUCAGUCCUGCCUCACUCUCAUCAUAGACUUUGCGUGUGGUAUAUGAAUCAAAAUGCUGUCAAACAUCUUGGUGGAGUUGUUACAAAUUACAAGAAGUUCAAUGCUGAUUUUCAGCAUUGUAUCUAUGAUAUUGAGGAAGAUGAAUUUAUAAGUGCAUGGAAUGAAAUGCUUGACAAUACCCAGAGGAGUGAAAGCAUGAACAACGAACUAAAACGUUACAUUAGUUCUAAGUAUGACAUGCUUAUUUUUUUUGAGCAUUUCGAACAUCUAGUUGCAGAUAAAAGAUUUGAAGAGGUGAGAUGUGACUUCUAA
rnacentral:rRNA from 1 species